UAGGGAAUCUUUCACAAUGGACGCAAGUCUGAUGGAGCAACGCCGCGUGAGUGAAGAAGGUUUUCGGACCGUAAAGCUCUGUUGUUGGUGAAGAAGGAUAGAGGUAGUAACUGGCCUUUAUUUGACGGUAAUCAACCAGAAAGUCACGGCUAACUACGUGCCAGCAGCCGCGGUAAUACGUAGGUGGCAAGCGUUGUCCGGAUUUAUUGGGCGUAAAGCGAGCGCAGGCGGAAGAAUAAGUCUGAUGUGAAAGCCCUCGGCUUAACCGAGGAAUUGCAUCGGAAACUGUUUUCUUGAGUGCAGAAGAGGAGAGUAGAACUCCAUGUGUAGCGGUGGAAUGCGUAGAUAUAUGGAAGAAUACCAGUGGCGAAGGCGGCUCUCUGGUCUGCAACUGACGCUGAGGCUCGAAAGCAUGGGUAGCGAACAGGAUUAGAUACCCUGGUAGUCCAUGCCGUAAACGAUGAGUGCUAAGUGUUGGGAGGCUUCCGCCUCUCAGUGCUGCAGCUAACGCAUUAAGCACUCCGCCUGGGGGAGUACGACCGCAAGGUUGAAAC
rnacentral:rRNA from 1 species